rnacentral:misc_RNA from 1 species
UGUAUAAGAGUGAAGAGUAUGGAACGAUAAACUUCCAUGAAACCCAUAUUUUCAAUCAGUUCUCUAACCAUUUGCAAUGCAACAAAGUGAUACCCAAAGGGAAAAUAAAAGUAAAGAUAAAAAUCUGGGAACAAUACCUCAUGGCGUAAGGGCAUCAAACUAUUGUCUCAUAAAGAACGCCAGGACACAGAUCAAUUUCU